CCUACGUGCGGCAGCAGUAGGGAAUCUUCCACAAUGGGCGAAAGCCUGAUGGAGCAACGCCGCGUGGGUGAAGAAGGUCUUCGGAUCGUAAAACCCUGUUGUUAGAGAAGAAAGUGCGUGAGAGUAACUGUUCACGUUUCGACGGUAUCUAACCAGAAAGCCACGGCUAACUACGUGCCAGCAGCCGCGGUAAUACGUAGGUGGCAAGCGUUAUCCGGAUUUAUUGGGCGUAAAGGGAACGCAGGCGGUCUUUUAAGUCUGAUGUGAAAGCCUUCGGCUUAACCGGAGUAGUGCAUUGGAAACUGGGAGACUUGAGUGCAGAAGAGGAGAGUGGAACUCCAUGUGUAGCGGUGAAAUGCGUAGAUAUAUGGAAGAACACCAGUGGCGAAAGCGGCUCUCUGGUCUGUAACUGACGCUGAGGUUCGAAAGCGUGGGUAGCAAACAUGAUUAGAUACCCUGGUAGUC
rnacentral:rRNA from 1 species